rnacentral:lncRNA from 13 species
GCUCAUCGUCCAUCGGUCACGCAUAUCACGGCGGCUCCUCGGUUGUUGUCAAAAUCAAAAAUCGAGCUUCCUGCGGAUCUACCUACCGCGGAGAAACGCGACACGAAAUCGAUCCGCGAUCCGCCGCAUCUUUCACCCGCCGCUGCCGCCGUCCGCGACCCCGCGACGCUUCGCUACUAGAGCAGCAGCGCCGCGCCCCGCCCCGCCGUCGAAUUGACACCGCCAUUGAUCACGGACCAACGAUUGAUAACGUACGUGUGCACUUUCCAGAAAGAAAUCUUUUCUCGGAGAAAAAUCGCGCACUAGCUCGCGUGCUAUCACCGAUGCCGACUUUACUUUAUACAUACGCGCAGUUACUUCCGAGUUUUCGUGGGCGACAAUGAAAUGAACGUUCCGACGAAAUGAUCUACGCAUUCUGGAUCAUAACCUCGCGCGGUCGUGUGUCCUUUCGCUACGUGGUGAUGCCGCUUCGCUGGGGCGCCGUCAACAAAGUGUCGCACGUUGCUGAUAAUAAUUAACGCGCGAUCGUAAUUAAUCUCAUUCGCGAGUGUUAUUUGUGUAUUGACUGGACCUGUUGGCAGAGGCCCGGGGAGCAUCGGGCAACGGCGAAACAGCCCUGUGGUCAACAUGGCGUUGCAACUCCGCUGCUGAGUGUCGGUCCAAGGGCGAUACCAGAUUGAUCUCGGAGCCAAAGAAGUACCUCUUGUUCGGAUUAGCGCCGGCCUCGAGCAGGA